rnacentral:tRNA from 1 species
GGCAACGUAGCUCAGUUGGUUAGAGCGUGGGACUCAUAAGCCCAAGGUCACUGGUUCGAUCCCAGUCGUUGCUACCA